rnacentral:rRNA from 1 species
GAGUAAGGGGUGGAAAGACCGGUGCCAGCCGCCGCGGUAACACCGCACCUCAAGUGGUAGCCAUAUUAUUGGGCCUAAAGCGUUGUAGCCGGCUUGGUUAAUCCUGGGUAAAUCGUACCGUCAACGGUGCGGAUUCCGGGGACAUGCCAGGCUUGAGACCGGGGGAGAUCAGAGGUACUGCGGGGAGCGGUGAAAUGUUGUAAUCCCGCAGGGACCACCAAUGGUGAAGG